rnacentral:rRNA from 1 species
ACGGAAGGCAGCAGUGGGGAAUAUUGCACAAUGGGGGAAACCCUGAUGUAGCGACGCCGCGUGAGCGAAGAAGUAUUUCGGUAUGUAAAGCUCUAUCAGCAGGGAAGAAAAUGACGGUACCUGACUAAGAAGCCCCGGCUAACUACGUGCCAGCAGCCGCGGUAAUACGUAGGGGGCAAGCGUUAUCCGGAUUUACUGGGUGUAAAGGGAGCGUAGACGGCAAGGUAAGUCUGAAGUGAAAUGCCGGGGCUCAACCCCGGAACUGCUUUGGAAACUAUCUCGCUCGAGUACCGGAGGGGUAAGCGGAAUUCCUAGUGUAGCGGUGAAAUGCGUAGAUAUUAGGAGGAACACCAGUGGCGAAGGCGGCUUACUGGACUGUAACUGACGUUGAGGCUCGAAAGCGUGGGGAGCAAACAGGAUUAGAUACCCUGGUA